AAUGGUUUCAGGAUGAUAACUCAAGAAAGCUUACGCCUAGGGUCAUGAAACUUCAUAGGUACAUUGAUCAUGACUGGCAGAUGACCCCUAUUUAUUUUCGGGUCACAAGGUCAAAGGUCAAGGUCACAGUGACAAAAAAAGUAUUCACAGAAUGGCUGCCCCUACAACUGACAGCCCAUAUGGCGGGCAUGCAUGUUUUACAAACAGCCCUUGCUAAGUUUCCUUUAUUAUAAUUAUGAUGUGAGAUUUUGUUGUUUUUGCUUUUUUGUAUUUGGCAAUAAAUUACUUCUAAAAAUA